rnacentral:rRNA from 1 species
UUGAGCGCUGGCGGCAGGCCUAACACAUGCAAGUCGAGCGGAUGACGGAAGCUUGCUCCUUGAUUCAGCGGCGGACGGGUGAGUAAUGCCUAGGAAUCUGCCUGGUAGUGGGGACAACGUUUCGAAAGGAACGCUAAUACCGCAUACGUCCUACGGGAGAAAGCAGGGGACCUUCGGGCCUUGCGCUAUCAGAUGAGCCUAUGUCGGAUUAGCUAGUUGGUGGGGUAAUGGCUCACCAAGGCGACGAUCCGUAACUGGUCUGAGAGGAUGAUCAGUCACACUGGAACUGCGACACGGUCAAGACUCCUACGGGAGGCAGCAGUGGGGAAUAUUGGACAAUGGGCGAAAGCCUGAUCCAGCCAUGCCGCGUGUGUGAAGAAGGUCUUCGGAUUGUAAAGCACUUUAAGUUGGGAGGAAGGGCAGUAAGUUAAUACCUUGCUGUUUUGACGUUACCCGCCGAAUAAGCUCCGGCUAACUUCGUGCCAGCCGCCGCGGUAACAC